rnacentral:misc_RNA from 1 species
AAGUUCGCAGUUGGAACAGAGGUAUGCCAAAAGCGCUUGCCCUGAUCUUAUUUUUGGACUCCAGUUGGCCAAAGCUUGGAUGCCAUUUCUGUCUCUGCUCUGCAUAAUUGUGUUGUGUCUGUUAAAGGCUUAACCUUCGGAGAAUUACCUAGGCCAUUAGUUUCAACAUAUAUUUCUUCCCUGUUUGAAACUUCUGCAAUUGCUUAUUAGCUCUUUUGCUUAUAGUAACCGUACAAUGGAAAAGAUGGUGUGAGUUUCAACUUUUUGAAUCGCUGACUAAAACCAAUUCGACUCCAUGUUCAAGUACAUGUCAAAACAUGUGCAAUUUAUGGAUUACUUCCUGCAUUUGCUGAUGAAUAUUUGCACCUUUGCUUUCAGGCUAUUGCAAAGAAGCUAGCA